rnacentral:lncRNA from 1 species
CCACCUUUUAUUAAAAUACUUUCUCCCUCAUUUUAACACACUUCUGAAAAAACUAAGAGAGAUGGGAGAGAGGGUUGUUGAGAGAGAAAGUAAAUUCUUCAUCAUCUAGUCUUUAAAAAUCAUUGGAGCUUGGGAAAUUCUUGGUGCAUUGUCUUCUCUAUUGAUUUCUCAGGUAAAAUACCUAACCCAUUUCCCCCAUAUUUCAAAAUUAAGCUUGGGAAGGGAACCCCAUAGACUUGCUUUGAAAUUUCUUCAUUAAAUCUUCAUGCAUGUCUUUAAAACCCUAAAAUCUUGUAAAAAGGGGAUUGGGUAAAGACUAUGAGUUUAAAUUUCUAAAACCUAAGUGUUGUUCAUGAACUAGAUUGACUUCUUGAUUUUUUGGAUUGGGCUAAUGUUUUAAAUGGAAUAAAUCAACCCCAGGUAUGUAUGGAUAAUUGUGAUCCUUGUGAAAUUGCCCUGUGCUAGUUGUGAAAUUGCUGAUAGUUGAUAUUAAUGUGAAGCUUUUGUGUUGUAUAAUUGUGUGGUAACACUUUGUGGUGAAAGUUGAGGAACAUGUAAUUGGAACAAUGGAAUCAAUGUGGAACAAUGGAAAUGGAAAUAAUGUGGAACAAUGGAAAUGAAAACAAUGUAGAACAAUGGAAACAGGAAUAAUGUGGAAUAGUGUAAAUGGAAAUAUUGUGGAACAACGUGUUCGAUUAGUUUUGAAUGACUGUUGUGAUGGUAUCAAUGGUGUACCAAUUUGAUGAACACGAGGAAUUGUUGUUUCUAGUUGUGGAAUUGCACUACCCUUGUUAUGGAUCUAUAUUAACAAUGUGCUAUAGUUGAUUUCUUGUAUUUGUUAUUGUGCUAUUUGUUGUUGUCAAUUAAAAAACUGUCAGGCGGCGUAGGGUUGCAUGCCGCAACACGGUGAAAUAAGGUGUAUGUUUGGGUGAUAAGGUUAGCCGAGGUAAUAAAGGUGGAUGAGGAUAUAAGGGUGGAUAAUGUGAUCCAAUAUCACUAUUGAUAUGAAUAUGAAUAGUGAAAUGAUAAAUGCGAAAACAAUAGGUUCCAUCAAAACCUUAGACAAGGAAUUUAGCUACUCAUGGGUAUGGCUAAAAAAGAAAAAAUAAUAUUCAUCAUAUACUACCAAUAAAAUGCAAAAGAAAAGAAGAAAUAUGGUUUGGGUAUUCCCUCACAAUGUUUUUCCUUCAAAGAACUCUAAAAACUUAAUACAUGCCUCCUUUGAGCGAAGUCUAGUAUUUAGAAUACGUUAUAGGCUAAAUUACUGUGUUGACACUUUCGUCCCACAAGUUUACUAUGCCUACCGUGGUUCUGCCACAGUCGCAGUAGAACUGCGACCAAACAUCCCCUCUGAUACUCUUCUUGUUCGCGAUAGCAUCUCACCGCGGUUCUGCCGCGGUCGCGGUGGAACAACGACAGAACAGUUUCUCUAAUUCUUGAGCCUGUUUUUGGCGUGGUUCACUUAGGACUUUUCCCGAUUGGCCUCUUUUUCUUCAUUUUUGACUCCAAAAGUACUCCCGAACCUUCCCUAGUCAUAUAUAACCUGCAAAUCAUGAAAAGCACUCGUAAGAGCAUUUGGUUAUCACUUUUAUUACCAAAACUAUGCAAGAAAGUGAUUAUUUAGGGCCUGAAGAUAGUUAAAGUCACAUAUUAUUAUGCCCAUAUAAGUAUUUAUAUUAACCAAACUGCACACCAUCAAAUAUAUAGUAUUGUUAAGCAAAUCGGUUCCACUGGCUACGAUUGUGAACAAAUAUUGGAAAAGAUAGUUAAAUUCACAUAUUAUUAGGCCCAUUUAAGUAUUUAUAUUAACCAAGCUGCACACCAUCAAAUAUAUAGUAUAGUUAAGCAAAUCGGUUCCACUAGCUAAGAUUGUCAACAAAUAUUGAAAUAAAAAGGACAGAUCGGUGCACUGAGCAUUAUCCUAUAUUUAUGAAGAAAAUAGUUUUUACAGUUCAAAUUCUAAUCUCUUGAUUACAUAACACCAACUUUGCUCAUUAUGCCAUUUCCCCUUCCCAAAAGAAAUUAAAAUAAAGGUUGAAAAAUAGUUGUUGGCGACUAAUAAAUCCUUUCUAAAAAAGGUCAUAAUAAAAGAGGUACUUCCUUCUAUUUGUUGGAACAGGAUAGCAACAAAUACAUUGAUCUAAUUCGUCAGAAAAGAAAGAAUCUCACGUGAUACUGGUUCUAUGUCUCUGAUCAACUCUUCACAGAAUUGUAUUAUUGUUUACGUUAUCUAAUCAAUCAAAGACUAAAGAUGAUACAAUGUAAAAAAAUCAGUUUAUAUGGUUGGUUUGGGAAAUUACAUCUAUAACUAAACUCAUACUCGAGCAGUUAAUAUUCUUGUUCUUAAAAGAAUAGACGUAGGCCUAAAAUUUAAUACCUUACACUUGAAAGAUACAAAUUUCAAAUUCUCUUUCUGUUUUCUAUUUACUUAUCAUAAGCUGGAUUUGCCUUCAUAAAAUCUUUUGCUCCUAGAUAACUUUUAUUAACUCAUUAAUAUUAAGUACUUUUCUCUUCAACUUCAAUUCAAAUACUUUCUAAUAUUUACUUAAGUUGAAACAUUUGGGAAGAAGUAGAAGUGCAUUAAAAUUAUAAGCAUAAUAAACCUUCCUUCCUUGUUAGAGAUUAUCCAAAAUGAGAAAACUGAGAGGACAUGAUAGACACCAAUAUCUAACUCGUCCUUUAGGACUGAUAUGCAUAACUCCAUGCCAAAUUCCCACAUCUUUGUCGUCCCAGCCAAAUGACAGUGACACUUGUGCUUGCCAAUACUCAUUUAGCAAUCGCAAAAGGGGCUAGAAUAUUAGGUACGAG